rnacentral:lncRNA from 1 species
UUUUAAAUGCCUGGUAGCUAUAGGUUGUACUUUCCAUUAGUUAUAUAAAACAAUGGUUUUGGGGGCAAAAAAAAGAAGCAAGUUCUGAAGUUCACUCUUGAUUGCACCCACCCUGUAGAAUCAUGGAUGCUGCCAAUUUUGAGCAGUUUUUGCAAGAAAGGAUCAAAGUGAACGGAAAAGCUGGGAACCUUGGUGGAGGGGUGGUGACCAUCGAAAGGAGCAAGAGCAAGAUCACCGUGACAUCCGAGGUGCCUUUCUCCAAAAGGUAUUUGAAAUAUCUCACCAAAAAAUAUUUGAAGAAGAAUAAUCUACGUGACUGGUUGCGCGUAGUUGCUAACAGCAAAGAGAGUUACGAAUUACGUUACUUCCAGAUUAACCAGGACGAAGAAGAGGAGGAAGACGAGGAUUAA